UACGUAGGGUGCGAGCGUUGUCCGGAAUCAUUGGGCGUAAAGAGCGUGUAGGCGGCUUGGUAAGUCCGCUGUGAAAGUCCAGGGCUCAACCCUGGAAAGCCAGUGGAAACUGUCAAGCUAGAGUCCGGAAGAGGCGAGUGGAACUCCUGGUGUAGCGGUGAAAUGCGCAGAUAUCAGGAAGAACACCAAUGGCGAAGGCAGCUCGCUGGGACGGUACUGACGCUGAGACGCGAAAGCGUGGGGAGCAAACAGG
rnacentral:rRNA from 1 species